GAGAUUAUGCGUCAAGUACAAGAGCUUCUCGACAAAGGUUAUAUACGCGAAUCCCUUAGUCCUUGUGCUGUUCCUAUUAUUCUAGUGCCGAAAAAGGAUGGUACAUCACGUAUGUGUGUUGAUUGUAGAGGCAUUAAUAAUAUUACUAUUCGUUAUCGUCAUCCUAUUCCUAGGCUAGAUGAUAUGCUUGAUGAAUUGAGUGGCUCUACAAUAUUCUCCAAAGUUGAUUUGCGUAGUGGCUACCAUCAAAUUCGUAUGAAAUUGGGAGAUGAAUGGAAAACAGCAUUUAAAACUAAGUUUGGAUUAUAUGAGUGGUUAGUCAUGCCUUUUGGGUUAACUAAUGCACCUAGUACUUUCAUGAGAUUAAUGAACGAAGUUUUACGUGCUUUCAUUGGACGAUUUGUGGUAGUUUACUUUGAUGACAUAUUGAUUUAUAGCAGAUGUUUGGAAGAACAUUUGGAACAUUUACGUGCUGUUUUUAUUGCUCUACGUGAUGCACGUUUGUUUGGUAACCUUGGGAAGUGCACCUUUUGCACCGACCGAGUAUGUUUUCUUGGCUAUGUUGUUACUCCACAGGGAAUUGAAGUUGAUAAAGCCAAGAUUGAAGCUAUUGAGAGUUGGCCGCAGCCCAAAACGGUCACACACGUGAGGAGUUUUCUUGGCCUCACUGGAUUCUAUAGGCGUUUUGUGAGAGAUUUCAGCACCAUUGCUGCACCUCUCAAUGAGCUUACAAAGAAAGAUGUGCCUUUUCUUUGGGGUACCGCACAGGAAGAAGCCUUCUCCGUAUUGAAAGAUAAGUUGACACAUGCUCCUUUACUCCAACUUCCUGAUUUUAAUAAGACUUUUGAGCUUGAAUGUGAUGCUAGUGGAAUUGGAUUAGGAGGUGUGUUAUUACAAGAUGGCAAACCCGUUGCAUACUUUUCUGAAAAAUUGAGUGGGCCUAGUCUGAAUUAUUCUACUUAUGAUAAAGAAUUAUAUGCUCUUGUUCGGACUUUAGAAACAUGGCAACAUUAUUUAUGGCCCAAAGAAUUUGUUAUACAUUCUGAUCAUGAAUCUUUGAAACAUAUUAAAAGUCAAGCUAAACUGAAUCGUAGAUAUGCUAAAUGGGUUGAAUUCAUUGAGACUUUCCCUUAUGUCAUUAAA
rnacentral:rRNA from 1 species